rnacentral:rRNA from 1 species
UACGUAGGGUGCGAGCGUUAAUCGGAAUUACUGGGCGUAAAGCGUGCGCAGGCGGUUUGCUAAGACCGAUGUGAAAUCCCCGGGCUUAACCUGGGAACUGCAUUGGUGACUGGCAGGCUAGAGUAUGGCAGAGGGGGGGUAGAAUUCCACGUGUAGCAGUGAAAUGCGUAGAGAUGUGGAGGAAUACCGAUGGCGAAGGCAGCCCCCCUGGGCCAAUACUGACGCUCAUGCACGAAAGCGUGGGGAGCAAACAGG